AGCAGCCGCGGUAAUUCCAGCUCCAAUAGCGUAUAUUAAAGUUGUUGCAGUUAAAAAGCUCGUAGUUGAAUUUCGGGGUUAGUAGGUUGGUCGUGCCACUGGUACGUACUGGUCUCACUGAUUCCUCCUUCCUGAUGAACUGUAAUGCCAUUAAUUUGGUGUUGCAGGGAAACUGGACUGUUACUUUGAAAAAAUUAGAGUGUUUAAAGCAAGCUAACGCUUGAAUACAUUAGCAUGGAAUAAUGAAAUAGGACGUUCGAUCCUAUUUUGUUGGUUUCUAGGAUUGACGUAAUGAUUAAUAGGGAUAGUUGGGGGCAUUAGUAUUCAAUUGUCAGAGGUGAAAUUCUUGGAUUUAUUGAAGACUAACUACUGCGAAAGCAUUUGCCAAGGAUGUUUUUCAUUAAUCAAGAACGAAAGUUAGGGGAUCGAAGACGAUCAGAUACCGUCGUAGUCUUAACCAUAAACUAUGCCGACUAGGGAUCGGAUGAUGUUAAUUUUUUUAAUGACUCAUUCGGCGCCU
rnacentral:rRNA from 1 species